GGGAAAACCUUUAAAAAGUUCAAUAGAUCACAGGCAUUUUCCAGAUCUAAGAAAAAUAAGAAAGUAAAGAACCUCAGACAUCUUAGGGUUUCAGAGAAAACCCUAGAAAUGAGAAGAGUCUUGUGGAAAGUCAUAUCCUGAGUCAAAACGGCUCAUAGUGCUUGAAUAUGCGGGGGUAAUGGCUGGAGAAGACAUAGAUCUACAAAUAUGAGAAGGAUAUGAAGGAGAACCAUUGAGGUCCGGUCUCGAAGCUUCGAACAACCAUGGUUUACUGAUGGGAGGGAUUGAGUACCAACCAUCCAUGGCCUGAGAAGCCAUGGAUUCCAGUGGAGUGGUGGUUGAAGAUGGGUAGAAGGAGGCUAGGGUUUCAGAGAGUUUGAGAGAAGAGACGUUUCAAAGGCAG
rnacentral:lncRNA from 1 species